GAUGAACGCUAGCGAUAGGCUUAACACAUGCAAGUCGAGGGGCAGCAUGGUCUUAGCUUGCUAAGACUGAUGGCGACCGGCGCACGGGUGCGUAACGCGUAUGCAACUUGCCUCACAGAGGGGGAUAACCCGUCGAAAGACGGACUAAUACCGCGUACACUUGGGAUAGGGCAUCCUGACCCAAGGAAAUGAAAUUCGCUGUGAGAUAGGCAUGUGUCCCAUUAGCUAGUUGGUGAGGUAACGGCUCACCAAGGCGACGAUGGGUAGGGGAACUGAGAGGUUGAACCCCCACACUGGUACUGAGACACGGACCAGACUCCUACGGGAGGCAGCAGUGAGGAAUAUUGGUCAAUGGGCGAGAGCCUGAACCAGCCAAGUCGCGUGAAGGAUGACUGUCUUAUGGAUUGUAAACUUCUUUUAUACGGGAAUAACAAGAGCCACGUGUGGCUCCCUGCAUGUACCGUAUGAAUAAGCAUCGGCUAACUCCGUG
rnacentral:rRNA from 1 species